rnacentral:rRNA from 1 species
UACGAAGGGAGCUAGCGUUGUUCGGAAUCACUGGGCGUAAAGCGCACGUAGGCGGAUGUGUCAGUCAGGGGUGAAAUCCCGGAGCUCAACUUCGGAACUGCCUUUGAUACAGCACGUCUUGAGUCCGGAAGAGGUGGGUGGAAUUCCUAGUGUAGAGGUGAAAUUCGUAGAUAUUAGGAAGAACACCGGUGGCGAAGGCGGCCCACUGGUCCGGUACUGACGCUCAGGUGCGAAAGCGUGGGGAGCAAACAGG